rnacentral:tRNA from 1 species
GGGAGUGUGGCUCAGUGGUAGCGCUCCCGUCUUGCAUAUGGGAGGCACUGGGUUCAAUCUUCAGCACCACA